rnacentral:tRNA from 2 species
AAAGCUUUAGCUUAAUUAAAGCAUCUGUUUUGCAUGCAGAAGAUGUGGGUUAAACACCCGUAAGUUUUA